rnacentral:rRNA from 1 species
UACGUAGGGUGCGAGCGUUGUCCGGAAUUACUGGGCGUAAAGAGCUCGUAGGCGGCUUGUCGCGUUGUCCGUGAAAAUUUACAGCUCAACUGUGAACUUGCGGGCGAUACGGGCAGGCUAGAGUACUGCAGGGGAGACUGGAAUUCCUGGUGUAGCGGUGAAAUGCGCAGAUAUCAGGAGGAACACCGGUGGCGAAGGCGGGUCUCUGGGCAGUAACUGACGCUGAGGCGCGAAAGCUAGGGGAGCGAACAGG